rnacentral:misc_RNA from 1 species
CAAAUUAUGCAUUUCCAAAAGUACCAAUGUCCCAGGUAUUGAAGAAAGAAAUAUCAUGGAGUUUCAGAACGCCAAGAGCCCUCGCUAGCCUUAGGGACAGAAAGCAAAAAUAUAUAGCUAGGAGCCCAAUGCCAAGAGACUUGUCUAGCCUCAUGUUUUUUUCUGGGCAAAAUCACAAGGGCCCAGAGCAAGCCUGCCAUCAAAAACAAUAAGGUCUCAUAGAGAGAAGGAUCUUUGGGUAUGACAAAAGAAGAUGGGUAUUUGGACCAUGAUGAGAUAACAAAUGACAAGCCCAAUCCCAGCAAUGUAUUGAACAUUGGACCAGCAUAGCAGCCUGAAAUAGCAAUUUGGGCACCAUCUGCCCCAC